rnacentral:rRNA from 1 species
UCGAGCGAACGGACGAGAAGCUUGCUUCUCUGAUGUUAGCGGCGGACGGGUGAGUAACACGUGGAUAACCUACCUAUAAGACUGGGAUAACUUCGGGAAACCGGAGCUAAUACCGGAUAAUAUUUUGAACCGCAUGGUUCAAAAGUGAAAGACGGUCUUGCUGUCACUUAUAGAUGGAUCCGCGCUGCAUUAGCUAGUUGGUAAGGUAACGGCUUACCAAGGCAACGAUGCAUAGCCGACCUGAGAGGGUGAUCGGCCACACUGGAACUGAGACACGGUCCAGACUCCUACGGGAGGCAGCAGUAGGGAAUCUUCCGCAAUGGGCGAAAGCCUGACGGAGCAACGCCGCGUGAGUGAUGAAGGUCUUCGGAUCGUAAAACUCUGUUAUUAGGGAAGAACAUAUGUGUAAGUAACUGUGCACAUCUUGACGGUACCUAAUCAGAAAGCCACGGCUAACUACGUGCCAGCAGCCGCGGUAAUACGUAGGUGGCAAGCGUUAUCCGGAAUUAUUGGGCGUAAGGCGCGCGUAGGCGGUUUUUUAAGUCUGAUGUGAAAGCCCACGGCUCAACCGUGGAGGGUCAUUGGAAACUGGAAAACUUGAGUGCAGAAGAGGAAAGUGGAAUUCCAUGUGUAGCGGUGAAAUGCGCAGAGAUAUGGAGGAACACCAGUGGCGAAGGCGACUUUCUGGUCUGUAACUGACGCUGAUGUGCGAAAGCGUGGGGAUCAAACAGGAUUA